CCAAGCUUACCAUCCUUAUUACACAGCACGGUGUUGGCCUGUAAGUCUGUGUGUGGUGUUUUUUACCUCAGCAUGGCCGUAUCACAGCGUUUUUCCAAGCUUACCAUCCUUAUUAUAUGAAUGAGCUGGCAGGCACAGCCUAUGAUUUCAGUCAAAACCUGGCAAGAUUGGAUUCCCUUUUCCUGCUUCAAAAUCAUUGACUUCAAUGAAACUAUACCGCUCCUUAUUCUGCUCUUAGUACAUAAAAUAUUCUCCUCGUUUCCUGGCAUCAAGUUAGUUUGAAGAUGAUGUCACUUGCAAGGCAGCCACAUCACUUCUGAGGAUCUUGCUCAUGUGUGUCAGUGACUCAAAGAAAAGAUUACCGUAGCUCAUAAUCCUCUCAUUGCUAUUACAAGUUGUUGGAUAACUUCUGAUGUCAUCUUUAGAGGCUUUGUGCCUCUGUAACUCAGAAGAGGAACAUGUACCAAAUCACAACACAUGCUUCCUUUUUCUGUGGUAAUAAGGUAAGCCAUGUUCAGUAGAGGCUUUGUGCCUCUGUAACUCAGAAGAAGAACAUAUACCAAAUCACAACACAUGCUCACUUCCUUUUUCUGCAGUAAUAAGGUAAGCCAUGUUUGAAACUCAGAUGUGAUACAUUCAUCUGUCUUAUUAAACACUGUUAGUAAGCAUACCUG
rnacentral:lncRNA from 1 species